rnacentral:tRNA from 1 species
ACCUCCGUGGCUCAGCGGACAGAGCGCCGGAUUACGAAUCCGGAGAGCGCAGGUUCGAAUCCUGCCGGGGGUA